GUCAAUUGCCAGAGAGAAAUCAACAGUGGUACUCCUAAGUGUUUAAUGAAAAUAGCAGGCUCAUAGGCGGAAGGAACUUGCUUUGUCUCAGCUGCUGCUGGAGUUUCACUGUGAUUCUGAGGAGUGCUGUCACUCAGGGGUCUCCCGAUCCUAUCUAGUGCUGAUCUUCCAUGGAUUUCCCGGAAGACUGAAUAGGCUUAAUUUUGCAACUGCUCUAGAAUACAAGUGUGCUGGUCUCCUGGACGCUUCAUGGGGGAAAAAAAGACAACCCUCUAGUUCUGCUCAGAUUUUUUUUUCAGCUCUGCCUCCUGCAAAGAUAGUCCAUCUCAUCCAGCCAGUUCUGAGGAAGUAUGUGAGUCAUGUCCCUUUUUCUGAUGAAAACUUCCAGUAUUGACUACUAGAAGUUUUCUAGAUCAACAACUAUCAAGCCUUUGGAAAUAUAACUAAUAUGUACCAAUAUGUAAAAAAUAAUUUCUAUUUUUUUAAUGAAAUAGUUUCCUAAGGCCCAAAUGUAACUUUCAAAAUGAUAUGUGUGGCACAAAUUCUCUCUACUACCGGGGCGACGAAGGGAGCACAGUGCACAGGCUGGAGGUCAGAGCCUCCCUGGACAUAGUUUGGCCCCAAAAAGAAUCAGGGAAGAAGAAACUUGACAAAGAGCCUCAUAGAUGUUUCCUAAAGCAGAGACCCUCUGAAGGUGAUGCAUGACUAUUAGAGAAUCUGUGCUAUAAGGAGCUUCUUGGUUUCCAUUUCUGUCACAUGAGGAAAAGUAAAAGCUAACAAAAUCGCUCAUACAAACAAAUCUGUGUCACAGGCAUACAGUCCUGCUAACAUUUUUCUGUUAAAAGUAGGAACAAAUGUAAGCUUUCUGGCAUAUAUUUUAUGUUUUGUUUAAAACACUGCACAUUUUAUUUUAUCUUUAAAUACAUAUAUGCAUAUAUAUAUUUAAAACAUACACAUGGACAUAAUAACUAUUUGUAACUAUAUACCUAUUUGUAAAAAUAUUAUCAUUGGAAUUCUUUCCCUUUAAUAAAACAAACGUAACUAAGCAUAAGCCUCCAUAAAGUGCUUAUAUCCAGGGAUGUUGUAGGAAACUGUCUCUCCUGGGGAAUAGGAGGAGCUUUGAUUUGCAGCAUUUGCCAAUUUCUGCAUUGUAAACACUCCGUCUAUGGCCUGUUUCAAACUACCAAUGAUUUAGUGCCUGGCUCACAAAAUUCCUGAAUAUUUAACAAGCGGCUCUUGUGAGGGCAGGAGCCCGUGGCAGGUUACCACCACCAUGCUCCUUCAGCACCGCAGCAAACUUGUGGGAGGUGCUUGGGAAGCCCACCGACUAACCUUUCCUUUUAGACUGACAAUCACUCUGCAAGGUCUUAAGUCAAGAUAUUUUCAUUUUAGUUUUGUAGAUUAGAAUACAAC
rnacentral:lncRNA from 10 species